AAACAAUUCUUGAGUUUGCGGAUAAAUAAACACAUAUAUGAGAGACGCAACUCUCGUGUAUUAGAUAACCGCUGACCGCUAGGUAGUCCAGCCGCGACCAUGGUGACCGAUUUUCUCGGCCGCUGGCGAGGGAGAGCUUACGUAAUGGUACACACACACAGCUCUGAUUCAAGGUAGAUUUUAAAUGCAUGGAGUUUAUAACUAAAAUGUAAUGCAUAUAUAGAUGUUUUUAAUUCCAUAUUUUGUGGUUUACUAGAAAAGAAAAAGUUAACAAUGAUUUGUUUUCCAAAUCCUGUUUUUAAGGAUUGUGCAUUAUAAAAAAUUAACAACAAUGACUUAAACUCCUAAAAAAAAAAGCACGUAUUCUAAAAAAAAAAAAAUUCUUAUGAAUUAAUGCCGUUUGUAUAAACCAGCAUACUUUCUGCAGUAACUUUAUGCCAGUUGUACGCGCAAAGACUUUCGUUAACUUGUCAAAUGAAAACAGGUACAUGUUAACAUGUAAAGCUUGUUACACUCAUAGUACACAAAUCACUUACAAAAUAACAUUGUAACGACCUUUAUGAGAUCCCAACAAACAACUUUUCCAGCGACAGCCAUAUCAAAAUCCUAACCGUUUUUGAGUUAUUAAGCAAAAACUUUUAGGGGCCAUUGGUCCUUAAUUUAAGGGGCCAGCCCUUUUUUAUUGGUGUCAAAUGAGAGCCCUUGAUAUUCUGCACAACUUUUAUUCUACAUGUUUUAACAAAUUAUUUUUUGUUUAAAAGAUACAAAGGAAAAUAUGACUAAAUUUUCGCACUCUUCCGAAUCCUGUUUUUUAACCCCCUACCUUUUCCUAAAUAAGGAACGUAAUCAAAAAACAAAAACCGAUGUAUACAACUUCAAUGUCUUUGUUAUUCAAAUUCGUUGGAUUCCCAUUCCCUGCUAUCAUAGUCUCGGAGCCUUUGUCUGGAAACCAAAGGCCCCAAAAAUUUUUAAAAGGGGAAUAACUCGUUAACGGAAAGGGAAUUCUAACUUUUAUGAACUGAUGAAGAUAGUGUUUUGUAAAGUCCAUUAGCCCUGAAAAUUUGAGCAAAAACCGUUCAGAAAUGAGCACGAUAUGAAGCCUCAAAGUUCGCGUCUAGGAAG
rnacentral:sRNA from 1 species